rnacentral:sRNA from 1 species
GUGAACUGUUUUCCAUGUUCUAGUGGAUCUGUGCUCGGAUGGACUCCCAAUGCUUUUAGAAACAACAACGACAACCUUUAAGCUGUAUUCACUCACUGCAAUGGAGAAAUCCAAGAAGUGACUCCAGAGCUCGACCUCAUUCCUCCUGACACAACAAGAGCAAGGUUCCUUCAUUUCACUCAGCAGAGAGCACAGCAAAGGGGACUCGUGAAUGGCCACGCAGCUCUCUUGGGAGAUACAUAGAUGCCAAGGCAUAUGGAAGGCGCGACACAACACGUGGUGUUUGUCUCCAGUUCAGCUUCCGGCUUCUUCUCUGGCAUCGUGCUGCCGUCCUUCUGAGGGUACCAUGGCAAAGCCUUCGGCGAGAACUACGUGCUGCAAGGGGACCGCAUUGUCCUGACAAUGGCCUUACGAGCACGCCCUAAAGAUUAACCUGACAUCUGUCUCCCGCUGUAUGCUUUAAUUGACAUUAAUGAAUUCAUUCCUUUUUGAGAUGUCAAUUUGCCUGGAUGAUCCAUUAUAAAUUAGAAAAUAAUGUGCCUAGGAAACCACUUAGGAUCCCUUUUAAAAGGCCUCUGAGUGCUGAUGGGUCAAGAGAGCUAGUGACAUAAAGAAAAAGAGACAAGUGCCGCGGGACGGCUGUGCUCCAAAGGCCUGGGAAGAAAGCUGAUAGAGUUGCCCGCUCUAGCUAUGACACAUCCCAACUCCUGGGAGGAAAUCAAAAGCGGAAACUGGGCAACCAUGAAGAUGAGUCAUAAGGAAGGAGACAUCGAGCGUUCUGAAGCCGACAGCUGCAGAACAAUGGAAGCUACGAGAGGCUAUUUUUGUUUGGCUUCAACAAUUAAUUGAACCUGGUGGAGCUGACAGUAUGCCUUCUCUCAAUCUUCCCUUACUAAAAGUGGAACGUUUCCAUGCCAAAAGCUAGCAUCUCCUUCCUGUUUGAGAUUGAUUAAAACACCACUGUUCUCUUUCAUGUGUUUAUCUCCAGAAGCAACUUAUUGUAAGACAAAAUGUAUUCAAACGUUGAAAAAAAGAAAAAAAACGGGAAGAGUGUUACUGGAUUUCUAAAGCUGAACUGAGAACUCGGAUAUCUGUGGAACUCCCCUAGCAGUAAGUGUGGCAAGGCAAGGGAUAGCCAGAGGCUUUCAGCACCAGAUGGCUUGCAUAGUUACAGUUAUGGAUUUUUCCUUUUUUUUUUUAAUUUUCAAUUACACUUCCACAAAAAUAAGAAUUCAGUCAAGGAAAAUGUAGCUAUUCCUAAACAUGUCCCACUAUUCGCCAAAUAGCCCCAAAGUCGAGACAGGCAUAAAUUUAACAAUGUACUAAUCUGGAGAUAUCAUGAGCAUUUGUUAAUGUCUUCCCAAUCAAUGUUGAUUCUUUAGAGCCUACGAGUACCUACCAUAAAGAGAUUGAAUAAUUUCCCUAACUUAGAGACAUCCCUUAGGUUGUAGGACAGAGGGCAGUUAUGGAGAGACUAGGAGAUGACUGGGAUUGGGGUAGAGGAUGUGAA